AUAGCGUAUAUUUAAGUUGUUGCAGUUAAAAAGCUCGUAGUUGGAUCUUGGGUCGGGGGGAGCGGUCCGCCCCUUCGUGGGUGUGCACUGGUCCCACCCGACCUUGUUUCUGCCGGGGACGCGCUCCUGGCCUUCGCUGGUCGGGACGCGGAGUCGGCGACGUUACUUUGAAAAAAUUAGAGUGCUCAAAGCAAGCCUAUGCUCUGAAUACAUUAGCAUGGAAUAACGCGAUAGGACUCUGGUCCUUUUGCGUUGGUCUUCGGGACCGGAGUAAUGAUUAAUAGGGACAGUUGGGGGCAUUCAUAUUUCAUUGUCAGAGGUGAAAUUCUUGGAUUUAUGAAAGACGAACUUCUG
rnacentral:rRNA from 1 species